rnacentral:lncRNA from 13 species
CUCAUAAAUGUCACUUAUAAACCCCCGAACCUAAAAAAUAAAAGUUGAAAAAUAUAAAAAUUUAAAAGCACCAAAAAAAAAGAAGACACAUCACUUAAGGGUUUGGUACCCAUUGUGAUAGGGCCAGAUUUGUAUUAGCAUGAUGCUAGCUGCUGUAAAACACUCCAAAUGGAUGGUGAUCCAAUUAUAGAAAUGUAUUUCUCAUUUAAUAAAGUCCAAAAUAGAUUUUAAAAAGAAAGAAAAGUGCAAACUAAUCUGUAUCAGUCAGCGUCCUCCAGAAGGACAUGUAUACAUGAAAGGGACUUUAUUAAGGAGAAGUGACUCACACAAUCACAAGGUGAAGUCACAAUAGGCCACCUGCAACUGAAGGGCCAGGAAGCCAAUAGUGGCUCAGUCUGAGUCCCAAAGGCUCAAACAUAGAGAAGCUGACAGUUCAAUCUGUGGCUGAUGGUCUCAGAGCCCCAGGCAAACCACUAGUCCACACUGGCAGCCAAUUGGAUGGUGUUCACCUGCAUUGAGGAUGGCCCUGGAUUGAUUUGCCAAAGAUCCACCCAGGAAUCCUGACUCAUUGUAGCAGGGUGGAGAUUUUCUGAGCUAAGCGAGACCUUUCCUCAGAGGUCAUUUUCUCUGCCACUUCUCCUGAGGCAACUCCUGCAGCAAGCCCCCAAGGACAGAAUCAGAUAAUAGGAAUUCAAAAACCUGACUUCACUGUGAGCUAUGAUACAAGGUCCAAGACCUUCAGCAGCAGCCAGUUUUACUGAGUUACUAAUAGUCAAGGAGGUCUUGAGACCAAAAAGAGCCACACUGAUGGAGUAACCACUGCUUAUCAACUACAGAUUCUGGACUUUAAAGUACACUUCUUUACUGAAUGUUUCUUAGAAACAACAAUUGGUUGUUUCCCUUGCCUUCCCUGCUGACACAGAUAUGCCCUAUGCCAUAGCCAAGUUAGGCUGCUAUUAAGCCCUUGGGUUUUACCAGGUGCACUUACCGGAAUUCAUGGUGGCAAAUAAAAGAAUAAGAUAACAUUCUUA